AUAACACAGGUUUCUUUGUUGGGAUUGAGGCGGAGUUCGUUUGUUUGCCUGCUGAUCUGUUUUGUUGCAUCUUCUCUUGUUACCGUAAUUGAAAGCUUGUCUAUUAUUAUUGACUCUUCGUCUUUAUGUCUUUCCUUGAACGAAUGCUUAGUUCCUUUUUGCCACCGCAGUUGAAGCAAGCCUAUCGAGUUCACCAACUUCAGAUUAAAAUCGGUCCAUUAAAUUGUUUGAGUUAUAAUAUCUUCGAUGAUUUAGAACUUACUUGACAGAUUUUUGGUGCUAAACCUUUUAUUUCCUGCCCAAGGUUCUGAAAAUGUCCAUUCCACAUAUUAUCUCCUACACUCCCAAAAAUUUGAAACACGACCUUCUAAGCCCUUGAGAGUGCCAUUUGUUUUGCAUGCUUGCUGACUCCCCAAUGCUAAUAUUUUGCAAUCCUGUUAUGCAGACCUUAAUUAAUGAAGCGAUUACAAGGAACCCCGCUGCUCUUACCGACUGCCUUAAGAGUUGAGGAAGAUGAAGAACAUUGUAAGCAAUGGCUGUCUUUGUCAAGUGACUCUCCUGCAAGAGAAAGGGAUCAGCGAAGAUGCGCCCCUGCGUUGCUUUUGCUGCUGAUGAUGGCUC
rnacentral:lncRNA from 1 species